CCUACGGGGGGCAGCAGUGAGGAAUAUUGGUCAAUGGACGAGAGUCUGAACCAGCCAAGUAGCGUGAAGGAUGACUGCCCUAUGGGUUGUAAACUUCUUUUAUAUGGGAAUAAAAUGUUCCACGUGUGGGAUUUUGUAUGUACCAUAUGAAUAAGGAUCGGCUAACUCCGUGCCAGCAGCCGCGGUAAUACGGAGGAUCCGAGCGUUAUCCGGAUUUAUUGGGUUUAAAGGGAGCGUAGGUGGAUUGUUAAGUCAGUUGUGAAAGUUUGCGGCUCAACCGUAAAAUUGCAGUUGAAACUGGCAGUCUUGAGUACAGUAGAGGUGGGCGGAAUUCGUGGUGUAGCGGUGAAAGGCUUAGAGAUCACGAAGAACUCCGAUUGCGAAGGCAGCUCACUGGACUGCAACUGACACUGAGGCUCGAAAGUGUGGGUAUCAAACAGGAUUAGAUACCCGAGUAGUC
rnacentral:rRNA from 1 species